GACGAACGCUGGCGGCGUGCUUAACACAUGCAAGUCGAACGAUGAAGCCGGAGCUUGCUCUGGUGAAUUAGUGGCGAACGGGUGAGUAACACGUGGGUAACCUGCCCAUAAGACUGGGAUAACUCCGGGAAACCGGGGCUAAUACCGGAUAACAUUUUGAACCGCAUGGUUCGAAAUUGAAAGGCGGCUUCGGCUGUCACUUAUGGAUGGACCCGGGUCGGAUUAGCUAGUUGGUGAGGUAAAGGCUCACCAAGGCAACGAUGCGUAGCCGACCUGAGAGGGAGAUCGGCCACACUGGGACUGAGACACUGCCCAGACUCCUACGGGAGGCAGCAGUAGGGAAUCUUCCGCAAUGGACGAAAGUCUGACGGAGCAACGCCGCGUGAGUGAUGAAGGCUUUCGGGUCGUAAAACUCUGUUGUUAGGGAAGAACAAGUGCUAGUUGAAUAAGCUGGCACCUUGACGGUACCUAACCAGAAAGCCACGGCUAACUACGUGCCAGCCGCCGCCGUAA
rnacentral:rRNA from 1 species